GUCACAGCCCACAAGCUUCUCCAGCACCAUAGCCCGCAGGCCUAGAAUCACAGCCCGUAGAUAUGCCAGCCCAUUGGCCACAUGAAGGUUCACAAGGGCAAGGACGUCCAUUCAUACUAGAUGGAAGAUUCUAGACCAUCUAGAAACAUGUAUAUUGUGUAGAUAAUUAUGGAGGUAGGUGGUAGAUCAUUCUAGAGGCUUAAUCUUAGCCAUUAGAUGAAAUGUAUCCUCACCGUCCAUUGAGGAGGUGGAGGCCUAUAAAUAGGCUAGAGAACUUCAUUUGUAAGCAUCAAGCAUCAAGUUGUAAUCAAGCUAUUCAAGCUUAAUAGAAGAGCAAGUAGUUUCUCUCUCUAGAAAUUCUCUCUCUAAGCUUUCUUAAGCUUCCUUUUGUUCUUCUUGCCAUUCUCGCUAGCAUUUUGCCUAGCAUAAGGAGGAGUAGGCUGACUAGCUGACUUGUUUCCGCGAGAAAGUAGCUAGUGCCGCACGGUUCGUUGGUAGCAAACACCAAGCCCGUGACAGUUGGUAUCAGAGCAAGGUUAGACAAUCGUUGAAAUGGCAAAGACAUCAGGAGCAAGUGAGGCUGCUAGAGUUCCGGAAGAGGUAAGGCAACUCCAUAGUGAAGUUGUGAAGGACCAGCCGGAAGCGUCCAAGCCACCAAGGAAGGAGAGAGGAAGGUCGAGAGACGUUGUGUCUGACAUGGAAGCCAGGCUAGCCAAGGUAGAGCUAACUGUGGCCGAGGGACAAGAUACGUUCUGGGAUUUAGAGCAACGCAUCGGGGAGCUCGAGAAUGGAAGAGAGGAGCUUCAAGAGGGGAUGCAAGCUGCCUUGAACGAGGGGAUGUCCAAGUGUCAAGAACAAGCCAAGACCAUGGAGAAAACUCUCCUUGCCGAGGUUGUGACGUUGAGGGAGAUGCUUGAUGGAAUGGUUGCUAGGUUGGUGGCAACCGAAGAGGAACUUAUCCUUUGUAAGAAGGCAGCUAUCCAGGGAGGUGGAAGUGUGCCGAUGAUAGUCUCCACUUCAUCGAAGUUAGAUGUUCCGAAGCCUAAAGCUUAUAAAGGCUCGAGGAAUGCGAAGGAAAUUGAUAACUUCCUAUGGAGCUUGGAGCAAUACUUCAAGGCACUUGGCUUAGUAGAAGAAGCCAAGAAAGUUGACGCUGCCGCACUCUUCUUAGAAGAUACCGCAAUGUUGUGGUGGAGAAGGAGGAGUGGCGACAUGGAAAAGGGUACAUGCACCAUUAGCUCGUGGGGAGAAUUCAAGGAAGAUUUGAAGAAGCAAUUCUACCCCGAGAAUGCUAUUCGAGAUGCAAGGGCCAAGUUGCGGCGACUCUCGCAUACGGGAAGUAUCAAGGAGUAUGUUAAAGAAUUCACCGACACACUUCUUGAAAUUCCCAACUAUACCGAUGAAGAAGCCUUGUUUGCAUUCACGGAUGGGUUGCAGAUUUGGGCAAGGUUGGAGUUGGAGCGCCGUGGUGUCCAAGAUCUCAACACCGCCAUUGUCGUGGCCGAAUCCUUGAUAGAGAUCAGGAGGCAAGAUAAGCACAAGCCUGACCAAGAAAGGAACGGUAACGGAAAGAAUGGGGGAGAUCGCCACCACAAAAAGGAAGGCUCCUACAGGUUUGACAAGCCCAGAGAGGGAGGUAACCAUGGCAACAAGGAUGACAAAGGUGGAGAAAAGCCUCGUAUUAAGUGUUUCUUCUGCGACGGACCACAUAAGGCGAGAGAGUGCCCUACGAAGAACAAGCUCUCUGCGUUGGUCGAAGAAAGGGAAGAACACCAACGAGUGCAAGAGGAGUCUAAGAUGGGUUCACUACAACUUCUCAGUGCCAUCAAAACCAAAUUUGAGAUGCCCGAGUCCAAAAAGAAGGGCCGAUUGUUCGUGGAAGCGAAGGUUGGAAGCCGUACGGUAGAAGCAUUGAUAGAUACCGGGGCUAACAACAACUUCCUCGAGGUAAAGGAGGCAGAAAGACUUGGCAUCAAAUAUGCAAAGGAGCAAGGGUGGCUCAAGGCUGUGAACUCGGCGCCGAACGCAACAUGUGGGUUUGCGCGAGAUGUCAAAGUAAGCCUCGGUGAGUGGUCUGGCCUCUUAGACUUUUCCAUUAUUACAAUGGAUGACUAUGAAAUGGUGCUUGGCAUAGAAUUCUUGGAUAAAGUGAAUGCAUUCCCACUUCCCUUUGCCAACACCAUGUGUAUCUUGGAGCAAGGGAAUACUUGUAUGGUACCGUUGAAACGAGAAGCCAAGGUAAAAGCCAUGAAGAUCUCGGCCAUGCAAUUGUCUGAGCGGGUAGAGAAGGCUCAGCCGUCAUUCCUUGCGGCACUAAAGGAAGAAGUGGCAGUCUCGCCACAAGAUAAAGUGCCAAAGGAGAUAACAGGGGUCCUAGAUGAGUUUGGGAAUGUAAUGCCUGCGGAGUUACCGAAGAAGCUCCCACCGAAGAGAGAGGUGGAUCAGAAAAUGGAGUUGGUAGAAGGUACAAGGCCGCUUACAACAGUCCCUUAUAGUAUGGCACCCCUUGAGUUCGAAGAGUUGCGGAGGCAACCAAAAGAGUUGUUGGAUGCUAGCCACACUAGGCCAUCCAAGGCUCCAUGUGAACCACCGGUACUCAAGCAAAAGAAGCCAACUCUGAAGCAAGAAAGAUGGCAAGCAUCCCUUGUGGAGUCCGAUUUUGCGAAGGAGUACAAGCCGGGAAAGGCAAACUUAGUGGCCGAUGCGCUAAGUAGCAAGGCAAAGUUAGCUUCCACCACUAAUGCUAACUUUCCUUCAUUGGACCAAGGCAAGGUGGAACAAAACAAGCCCACCGAAUUGUCAAAGCCAUUACCGAAGUACAAGGGAUGGCAUGAGAAAGCCGACAGGGCAUGUGUUCCUCUAACCAAGGCCGCCAAGAGAAUGAAGAAGUGGGCAGAUGGAAAGAAGAGUCAUUCAGAGUUUGAGGAGGGAGGCUUAAUGAUGGUAAAGCUCCUUCCCCAUCAAGACCGAAGAUUUGCCAAGAAACUUAAAGGGCAUAAUCAAGGCAUACAGCGGGGACGCGACGAGGGCGUCGCCAGGAUGAGUGGGGGAGAAUGUCACAGCCCACAAGCUUCUCCAGCACCAUAGCCCGCAGGCCUAGAAUCACAGCCCGUAGAUAUGCCAGCCCAUUGGCCACAUGAAGGUUCACAAGGGCAAGGACGUCCAUUCAUACUAGAUGGAAGAUUCUAGACCAUCUAGAAACAUGUAUAUUGUGUAGAUAAUUAUGGAGGUAGGUGGUAGAUCAUUCUAGAGGCUUAAUCUUAGCCAUUAGAUGAAAUGUAUCCUCACCGUCCAUUGAGGAGGUGGAGGCCUAUAAAUAGGCUAGAGAACUUCAUUUGUAAGCAUCAAGCAUCAAGUUGUAAUCAAGCUAUUCAAGCUUAAUAGAAGAGCAAGUAGUUUCUCUCUCUAGAAAUUCUCUCUCUAAGCUUUCUUAAGCUUCCUUUUGUUCUUCUUGCCAUUCUCGCUAGCAUUUUGCCUAGCAUAAGGAGGAGUAGGCUGACUAGCUGACUUGUUUCCGCGAGAAAGUAGCUAGUGCCGCACGGUUCGUUGGUAGCAAACACCAAGCCCGUGACAG
rnacentral:lncRNA from 1 species